AACAUGAAGGUUUGUAAUAAAAAUUUGUUUCUAUCAGCAUUGCUUUGCAUUGCUGUUGCAGGAGUUUUGGGUCAAGCUCCUAGUAAUCCUCCUACGUCUACGCCGGCGCCACCCACACCACCGGCUUCUACUCCUCCUCCGACGACUCAAGCACCGCCUACACCAACCGCCACUCCGCCACCGGUUUCUACUCCUCCUCCCACUUCAUCACCGCCCCCAGUGACAGCUUCUCCACCCCCAGUUUCAACUCCUCCACCCAGUUCUCCUCCUCCUGCAACUCCACCACCUGCUUCUCCUCCUCCUGCAACUCCACCUCCAGCUUCUCCACCUCCUGCCACUCCUCCACCAGCUUCUCCACCUCCCGCCACUCCACCACCUGCAACCCCACCGCCAGCAACUCCUCCUCCUGCUACCCCACCACCAGCUCCAUUGGCUUCUCCUCCAGCCACAGUCCCAGCUAUCUCUCCAGUACAAACACCAUUGACAUCGCCACCAGCUCCGCCGACCGAGGCCCCAGCACCUACCCUCGGGGCUGCUACGCCAGGUCCAGCUGGAACUGACACGGUACAUUUUCUCUUAUUCCACCAUUUUAUAUCCUUCUUCUCCACCUACGAUCAAGCUUUAUUAUCGGUUGAAAUUUAAGCCUUUACAGCAAGACUUAAAAUAUAAUUUUAUUAAUGGUUUUAUAAUAUUAAAUUAUAAUUUUAUCAUUCUUACACAUUAAUAUAUAAUGUGAUAAAAUUUUUUACUUUGGGUACCGUGCCAACUUCCUAACGUCGCCCUUAAUCUUACAUAAACAACGAUCUGAGCUUGUCUCGAUAUUAGCUAACCCUUAAGCCAUUAGAGAUGGCUAUUGGUUCCGUCUCGACAUACCUUCAACAUAAUCUGAUUUAAAAUUAAAUACUUAUAUCUAUUUUUUAACACAAUAUUUAAAAUUAUCUAUAAUUUCUUCUCAACUUAUAAUUAAAAUAACAAUACUUCAGCGUAUUCAAAUUUACGUACCUAUGUUAAUCUAAUUUGACAAUAAUAUUUAUGUUAAUUGAAUUAAAGCUUGAGAUAUUAAAUUUAAUUAAGA
rnacentral:lncRNA from 1 species